AUACGGAGGGUGCAAGCGUUACUCGGAAUCACUGGGCGUAAAGCGCGCGCAGGCGGUCUUUUAAGUUGGAUGUGAAAGCCUACGGCUCAACCGUAGAACUGCAUCCAAAACUAUUAGACUAGAGUGUGGGAGAGGAAGAUGGAAUUAGUUGUGUAGGGGUAAAAUCCGUAGAGAUACAUAGGAAUACCAACAGCGAAGGCAAUCUUCUGGAACACUACUGACGCUGAGGCGCGAAAGCGUGGGGAGCAAACAGGAUUAGAAACCCUUGUAGUCC
rnacentral:rRNA from 1 species